AUUUUAUUCUUAUUUCAUUUUACUUUAGAUAGUGGUAGAAUUUUUGCUGGAGUUUAUCUUCUUUUGGUCCCAAAUGAUUUCUGAUCGUUAUAUAUGAGCAAUAAAAAAUGUGACUGUGUGGGCUGGCUAUAAUGAAGCUGGGAUUUUGUAUUCAUUCAUCACAAGAUGUAACUCCUAAGUGCAUCUGUUAUCUAUUUCAAGAUUGUAUUUCUUUUGGGUAGUUUUAUGGAUAAUUGAGUUAGUGAGGAUCUUGGUAGAAAAUCAUCUGGAAAGAAGGUACAUAGAGAUUUCAAUGUGGUUUCUCUUUUGUGUACUCAGUUGUGACAGAAGAAUUAAAAAAAUUGUUUACUUUAUAGAGAUUUAGCCACAUAAGCUUUAGCUUAACAUUUCAUGCAGUCAUGAUGACCCUCUCUAUCUGUUACAUGGAAAUUCAUCUGUUGUCUUGUACACCUGUCCUGUGAUGUGGAGAACACUUAUACCUCAGCAAUUACUAUACAGAUUCUAAAUAGUAUCAUAGAUGAGAUGCUUCCAGUGGCUGAAAAUAUAAAACUCGCUUUUGGGAUACAACAAAAACCUCUCUGCUCAGGUUAAACUCUCUGAGAAGCCCUCCAAAGAGAGAGAAACAUUCAGGUCUUGCAACGUCUUAGUGAAAGCUGGGUAUAAACUUCAGCAGGUACAGAUAAAACUCCAGUCUCAGGCAUUAGGCUGCCCCUCUUCCCUAGAAAAGGAGGCAUGUGGCAACAAAAGCCUACAUGCAAAAAUUCUGAUCUCAUUUAAAACUCUCUAGUCAUGUGUUGCUUGUAUAUAUAAUUACAGUGAACUUCAGAAGCAGCAGAAGCAGUGAGUUGCUGACACAAGGGAAGGAAAUGGAGGUAGGCAUAAGCUCGAACACGGUCACAUGCAUGAGUCAGAGGAGAGUGUAGAGACUCGCUGUGCAAACAGCAGAAGCUGUUUAAAGAAAUACCUUCUCAGCUGUUUGCUUACUGGAGGCUACUGUUCCUGUAACUCUGCUGGUAGGAAGGAAUAUGUAUGAAUCAGAGGCUUCCACUCACAGACCCACAUCUUCAUGCAAGACCACUUUUAUUACCUGUGUUAGCGAAGACUCUGGACCUUAUGGUACCAUCAGGGAGAUACAGGCACAAACUAAAUUACUCUGAUUCUGUGAUGAGAUGGGAGAAGAAAAUGGUGAGCAGUAGAAAGCUGUAAAUUAAUAGCCAGACAUCCACCAGAAAUGGUUUCUCAAAAACCUAAAUUGGUGAAGAAGUCUAUUUUCCACUACCUCCAAAAACCUCUGUCAUUCCUUCGUGUGUGCCGAAAUCAGAAAUUUGUUUAUGGUAGAAAAUAUGCUUAGUGCUAGAGGAGGUAUAAAAGUAUAAGCAAGGAUUAAAUACCUGACUCCUCCUCAUUUUCAGCAUGACCUAUGUUAUAAAUCAAGAAGCUUACUGUAACAAAGUGUUGCCCUCUCUACCUUUCAAGUAUUUCACAGUGGACCUCAAUUCACUGUUUUUCAAUGUAUUUCUGAGAAGCAUUUAGUUUUUGCCUAGAAAUUGCUGUGCUAUUUUUGCAUAUUCAGAUCUCUGUAUCAUUCCAGUUUGGAGAGGCCAACUGUUCCCUCUGUUUCCAUAUGAAGAUAGAAUGAAUCAGUGUUGCUUCCAUCCGUACUGCCAUUCCCCCAAAUGCUUUCACAGAUGUACUGGGAACAUGGAGUUCUGUGGUCUGUAACUGUAAUACCCCAGACUGGGCUGCUCUCAAAAGCCACCCUUCAGAAACCAUAUGAUUAUAAGUAACUCAAGGCUGGUAGGAGUUACCACACAUUACAUGAGGAAGGAUCCCAUGAGGCUGCUCAGGUGAUAGCAAAGCUUUAACAGGAAAAAGAUUUCACAGAAGCAAAAUUUCACUGAAGGUUUCCAGCAAUCUGAUUUGCAUGAUUAGGAGAAGAAAAUUCCCAUGUCCCUAAAAGUGGCCAGCCCACUAGAUGGCCCAAUACCUACUAGAUGACUUAUAAGGAAGCUCUAGUGGUUGUCAUAUCACUUCUUUUCAAUUUGUUGUGUACAUUUUGGCUUGCUGUCAAAAAGCUUGGUGCUUGGUACUGGCUCUUCAUAUACUUUAUUCUCCUCAGAAAUCUAGCAUAUACUCCUGCGUAUAAGAAGACAGGUGAUUUUAUACAUAGCCUGCUGUGAGAAUGAGUUCACAGCAUCAUGGCACAUCAGUUGUAAUAGCUCAGCACAGGUAUCAGUGUGAGUUCAGAAGGGAACAACUAAUUAAAUCCAGAUUCCUGAUGAGGGAAUCAGGGAAGGUAACAAAGUACGGUAGCAAGACAAUGACAACAGGAGGGAGAGGAAGGUCUUCAGCUCCUAGGACUUCCAACUCAGCAACCCUGGGCGUUUUUUUCCUGACACUCUAAUAGCAAUAACAUCAAUAACAGUUAGGAAUAAAGUGUUACACUAACAGUUAAGAGAAAAAUGAAGGCCACAUAAUCUUUCCCUAUCUGUGAGACACUUAGGCUCCACCAGCUGUGCUGGCUGGCUUCCUACAUCUGGGUUCCAAAAUGGGUAACAAGAAAACUCUGAGAGUACUAUUUUAAGAACUCUGGCACCAAGCAGAGAGGAGAAAGGGAAAAAAAAUCUCAACUCUCCACUUCUUUACUGAAAUCAUUCUGUUGAAAGCAUUUCUGUUUGGCUGCCACAGCUCACCAAGCAGCCUAAUGUGCCAGCUAUUAGUACCCAGCAGAGAGCAUGUUUGCAGCUAUUCAGCAAAACUAUCACAUGUCCUUACCGAAGGAAAGAGGGAUCAGCUGCCGAAUACUGGAGCUGAUGAAGAGCAGAGCUAUUAAAGCAAGCAAUAAAAAAACCCACUACCCAGAAUGCAGACUGAUUUUUAUUAUUAUUUUUUUAACCUAAUGGAUGACAUUUAUAAGUGGAAAGUAUGAGUCAGUAUGCUGUGCCAGCAUGGGGUCUUUAUGAUGUUUUCAUCUUGCUUGUUCUUCCUUCUUGGCUAGGACCAUUCUGUCUUGUUGAUUUGUAAGUUUUAGGUUCCUUGCAGUACUUUGGAGAUGGGCAUUCACAUGUGUUUUUGUGUGCAUGUAAGAAGUGACCAUAGGUCAGUGAACUGGAAGUAAAGGACUAAACUACUCAAGAAAAUUUUUAGGGAGUAGUGGGACUACUUUACAGUGCUGGGACCGCUUAGAUAAGUUAUUGCUGCCAAAGUGUCACCACUGCCAAAUGUGGCAGUGACGUGAGUGUGGGAGGCUAACGCCCACUUGCUAGCGAGGACAAAAUGGACACAUCUCCCUCUCUGCAACCACUAAUCUAAGCCAAAAUAAAAACAGAGUACUGUUUGUCCUUUGGUAGCACAUGAGCAAAUAGAGUGCAUUUGACACAGAGCUUCUCUGCAAUGUCACAUCUCUAGCAUGUAACCAAGAAACAAAAUUAUACUACUUAUUGAGAUGAUAUCAGAGUCUGGUUACCUCAGAAACAACACACUCAAUUCUAGAUUCUGACUCCAGAAAGUUCUCUCUACAUUGCAAAAUCAGGCCUGAAGCACUUCCCAGGGUGAAUUAAUCAAGGAAUGCCAGCUAUGGGAAAGUCCCCUUCUGACCCAGCAUUGUUUCAUGGCGGCUUCUCCUAUUCUGCAAGUCCCUGACACUGAAUUCACAUUUUGACAAGCAAACUCCUGCUAGGAGAGUAAUUUCCAAGGCCCAUGCAAGGCAAUGUCGCCUAGCCAUGGUGGUCUGGGCUGGUGCAGCAGCGGGGUCACCCCACAGCUUCCUGAGAGUGCCAGGAGGUGUGAGGGACCCGCAGAGCCUUUGCCUUCCUUUUCCCACAGCUGAUAUGGGUCAUGCUCAGCGCAGCUGAAAAUUGAGCCCUCAGGCAGGGAGCUAUAAUGAAUUCACUAGAUUAGGCAAUGAAAGCCAGUGUGAACAAAACAACCAGCUGGCUCAAGAAUAUUUCUCACCAGCAUAAAAAUGCUAUAGUAGGGGAGGAAACAAGCUUCAGAACUGUCCCCUUUCAUUCCUCUGAAAAUCAUGCCCAUCUUUAAUGCAUAUUCUUAUAGCCUCCAUAUAUCUGUGAAAGUGAAAAGAAGUAAAGGUAUUCUCAUCCGCUCUGUACUGUUUCAGCCAUUGAAAAUAGUAAACUCAUGUAAGAAUGUGAGGCAGCUUGAAAAUAACUUGUUUAUGGGGGAAUUUUACUUGAAGCCCUAUAAUUUUUUUCUUUUCUUUCAUAAUGAGUAUCAGAAUCUAACUACAUCAUUCAGGUCUUUGUAAUUAUUUUUUAAUUCUGGAAAACUAAAAGUUUUGUAAGUAUUUAGAAGUAUUAUUUCUAAAAAUUCUAAAGUAAUAAAAUUAUACAUAUAGGGUAGUAUAGUUCCAGAAUCAGAAACUGAAAAGCUGCCCUAUCCUUAUUACUGGAAGUGGAAAAAUUGUUUCAGCAUAGAGUGACAGACAAGACUUGACUCCAGUUUCUUUGCUUUUGUCUAGGGUUGUGUUGAAACCCUGUGUUUCCAAACGUUGUUUUUCCUUUAUCUGAAAGGUGACUUUUCAUAUGUGAGCCAAUCCACCCACACUCUUCCUGUGAUUAUUCUCAAGAAAUAAGAAGAAAAUUCCACACAAUGUCCAUACCCAAUAGGAUCGCAAGCCUAGUUUCACUGGAUUAAUAGUUUGCUUUCCUUUCUAGUUCACAAGAAAUGUGUGUUCCUAUGAGGUGAUUUUGGAAAAUGUGUUAUUCGACUGGAGGAAUCUUGCCUAUGGAUGCCACCAGAAAAAAAAGAUGUCAGUAAAAAACAGCCUCACAUUUGUAUUUGAAGGAGUGAAAGGCAACACUUAGGAAUUCCCACAUGGCAUUGCCCUUGCAAUCUCCUGAGGAAAUCCACCGUAAAAUACAGUAUGUGCUGAGAACAGGCUGGGGCACCUAAAUUUGGAUUGCUUUUGGCUUCAGCUAUCCAGAAAUCCCCAGAACAGGUGCCAAAUUAAGUCACCCUACUAGCUGCUUUCCAUGGCUGAAGGUCAGUAAUAGUUAACAUGGAAAGGAAUUUGGAUAGCACAUCUCACAAUCCGACAGUGCUGUGCCUGCUCAAACAUACCAAUGCAUUCUUACCUCAGAAAACCUCAAGUGCAGAGCAGUUUCACUUUCCUUUGACAUGGCAGCAGCUUACAGUUUGUAAGGAAAACACAUUAGUCUUUGGUAUCAAUGUUAAUUUAUGCCACAUUUCCCAUCUAUUUAUAACUCCAGCAUUCUAAAUUAGACUAUUAGAUGCAAAUAUAUUGUAAUCUGACAGAAGGCAAAAUAUUCCAUAAAUCUGAUUUGGAAAAGGGAAAUAUUCAUUUAUAUAUAGCUGACUAAUGGCUCUACAUUUGCAAUUUCAGAAACAUGAUUUCUUCAAAGAACUGCUGACAAUCCAUGUUAAACUUUGAAGAUUAGUGUGUUUAGCCAUAAUUUUGCUCCCAUUUGAAUUUUAUUUUGUUGUCAACUUGUUUCUUAUUGCAUUCUUUGUUUCUUAGAACUUGUAUAAAUAGAGGAUUUUUGUUUCUUGAAAGCCUUUUGAUCUCCUUUUCAUUUCCCACCUGCAAUUAUAACUCUUUCUGGGUGACAUCACCCAUUAGAUGCAGUGGAAAGAAUUCUGAUAAAUAGCUGAAUAAAGAAUUAUUGACAUCAAGUGGAAAAUAGCCCUCUGGAACUGAUGAGCUCUCAAAAAGUCUGUCUGCAUGCAAGAAUCACGAAUGAGAAUCAUUACAAUCAGGCAAAUAUAGAAAAUACUCUGUGCAAGGUGUUCAGUGCAAACUCAAUGUCCAGAACUGGGAAACUCAUGAAGGUGGUUGUUAGUGCAAAGUUAAAUAUUUAACCUCGUUAGCUAGAGAGUACUCGCAAGUGUGGAUACACCAGCAGUGAUAUAUUAUGAUGCUUUAUUUCAGUAAACAGGGAAUUAGAACAGUCCCUGCAAUUUCUCUUUUUUUCCCCACAUCUUAUUAAAUUCAGACAGGGUGCACUUUUAAGAAUAUCCUUCUGUAUAGAUGGAUUUCAUUCCCCAGUGAAACACUCAGUAAGUGCAUGGUAAGUCCACAUCCCUAUCGGUUCUCUAUUUUACCAUUUUCCUUAGUCCUCAGACUAUUAGUUGUUACAUCUAUGUCCAAACUCUGAGCAAGCAUUAAACAGUAUAAUUCUUUGAAUGUGGCUGGAGUUACCCUUAAACUGGUCCAGUCAUGAAUCUUGUAUUCUUCUAAAGAACUGAAGCAAGCACUGGUAUAUACAACUGUUGUAGUUUUGGUCUGGAAUUUUUUUUUUUUGGUCUGUGUGUGUGUGUAAACUAGAGUUACACUGAUGUUAAGCACAGACCAUAUCCAUAUUUACUACAUAGAUACAGAGUUAUGGACUGCAACCCACUUCCUUCUUUUAGGAAUGAAAUUAUCUUUGAGGAGACAUAACAAGCAGAUGUUGUUCUUGGGCUCUCUCUGGUCUGUUGCAGUGCUUCCUAACAUUCACAGCAUAAAAUUGAAGACAGGCAGUGUGUAGCAUGUACCAAUAAUCCUAAGUCUUGGUUCUUCUUUUGUAGGAACAGAAGAGGUGUAGAGAGGAGAUUCUGUCACUUUACAUUUUUUUCCAGAGAAGACAGAAGCAUUAUCUAUCUCAGUUUUGGUACUCUUGGUUUGCUGUCUAGAAGGAAUGUGAUAGAUAAUUCCAGAAAAUUUUGAGGCUUACUAGACUAGAGUUUAACCCAUGGUUAUAGAUUAUCAUCAUUACAGUGACUUUUUAUAAAAAUCUGCUAGACCUUUCUUCACUGAAUAACAAGAAAUAAAAAGUUACUGGGCUUCAGAAUAUGUUGAAAGACCAUGGCACAUAGAGAUUCAGUAAUAACCUCUAACAGAAUACAACAGACAUACAGAGUCUUACAGUCACAAUAGGUCUGUGUCCACAAUCACAAAGGUAUUUCCCAUAGCUCUUGUACCAGCACUGCUUACUAAUAGGCAUGGAUAAUGAUGGAUAAUGUCAGGGCUUUCCAUUGUACUUUGAACUUACACAGCUUAUCACUUCAUAGUAGAGAUGAUCCAAAUGUAUUCUCUGGUUCAAAAGCACUUCCCCUCUGGAACAACUUAAUAGGUGUUCCUACUUCAAACUAAAUUAUUUCCAGUUACCUCUAAACCUAGUUAUAGCUAGAAUUUUUUUCAUACAUGGGUUAUAUCUGCUCUAAAUCCAUCAAAGCCACUGUAGGUUUAUACUAUUGCAAAAGCAAAAAUAAAACAGGCACUGCCUAUCCUCUCAUUCCCAGGAGCAGCUGACUCUCCCUCUUUGGAAUGGCACUUAUGGGAAAUCCAUGAUCUCUGCAGAAAUGACCAAACUAGAUUUGAUUUAAAGCAGAUAUUUUGAGAAUUCAGUUAGACAGAGUAUGUAAGUGAGGUGAUGAAAGAUUCUGCUAAGUCAUCCCUGGUCUUCUGAUAGAUCCCUGGUCUCAAACACAAAGAGAGAUGGAAAUCAGAAAAAUGGUUUUAGAGACUCUGAUUCUGGGAGAGAUAUGUUUUGCAUAUGACCCUUUCAAAAAUGUCAGCAACAGUGUAUUUGACUUUCUUGAUCUUUGAAUCAAUACCUUCUGGCUACAUAAGACACUAGCAAACACAUUUUGACUCCAAACAAAUUAUUUCAAAACUGUCACAAGUGACUUUUUACAUGGAACAUCAUUUAUAUGACAUUUACAGUUCCUGGCAAAAGCCGGUACAGACACACCCAAAGAGCCACUAUUUUCCUCUGAGAAAGGAGAACCUCAGAAUGAUUCUUUUACCAAAGAAGACAAGCAGUUUGUUGGAUGGAAGACUUCUACUUCAUACAUCUUAUUUAAAAUCAUAUAGGUAAUAGGUAGUCAUUACAGGGAACACUGUGACCCCUGUGAGUGCUGUUGGUGAUGUCACAUAGCUGCACUGUGCUUCAUACUGUCCAGAUGACACAAUUUCUCAUUUUUCUUCAGUCUGGGUUGAGAUCAUUGCUUGGGUGAGAGGCAAUUACCUAAAGCACAUCUGAGAGAUGCUGGCAGACUGUCUGAGAGAGGUAGUCUGAGUCUGAAGGAGCAAUUUCCUUCCUUUUAGCCAAGCUUGGGGAAUGAGAGAACCUUUUAGGAUCUUUAGGUGCAUCUUGAUGCAUUGGCAACAACAGUAGCCAGGGAAUUGUUCUGUUUUAUUUUCUUGUUUACAAGCACAUGUCCAAAUGAAGAUUUUCCAAUGUUUUGUCUAUCCAGGGUAAGCAAUUAUACACUCUAGGUUUUAAAAGCAUUGCAAACCUCAUCAGGAGAAAAAUACACUUUGUUUUCUACUCCAGGUCUUUUGUGCAUUGCUGCUUAAUUGCUAUCCUCACUUCCAUCACCAUUUCCAUUCUGGACGUGCACUAAUUGCUGUUCAUUUUAGUUCAUUGUAUCUGAAGGACACAGUCACUUACAAGGCAACAGAUAAGAUCACAAGUGGAAUAUAUGCUCAUGGUCCUCCCAUCUGGAGUUCUGGAUGGAUGAACUUCUGCCCCAGUGUUAUCUUUAUUUUCUGGUUUAGUGUGUUGAUUUUCAUUGAAUACUACUGAUAUAAUAACUUAUUAUAAUAACUACAUAUAAUAUCAGAUUAUAAUGCAACUAUUAUAAUGAAGAUAUAAUAACUUGGGAUUUUAUUAAGAGGAAACUUGUCCAGGUUUUGAAGGUUGGAAGGCAUUUAUUUUAAAUUGUGCCAUCUUGAUUUAAUCAAUAAAGUGAGGUUUUGUAUACAUAUGUGAAUAUAUAUAUUUAUCCAGAAUAUUUGGGACAGGUGCAUCAUAUAAAUUGACCAGAUGAUUGCAUUAAUUACAUAGCUGUUGAAGAUAUUAAAAGCAAGAAUUUGCUAGAAAAUGCCAUAAAAUUGCUAGUACAGAAACUGAGGCAUGAUUGUGGUUUGUCAGACAUACUUAUCUGAAGGCUUCUCUUUAAUAAUUAGUGCUGUUAGAGAAGAUAAGAUGACUUCAUUGCCCAGCACAGAGGAAUGAAUCUAUUUCACAGGUUGAUGCAAACAGAAGGAGUUAGCUGAAAUAGUUUAUUGGGUUCAGUCCCUCACUAUUACUGCAUUGCACACAGCUGUUACCAGGUCAGAGAGUGUUUUAUUUCUAGUUCACCAUUAAAGGUGCAUUAUAACCUCUUUAUUAGUUUUUCUGAACAUAGCACAUACCAUCAUAAAUGUUUUAUGAAUGCAUUCAGAAAACAGGUAGCACAGCUUGUCUGUUUUUGCAGACUAUUAUCAACUAGUGCUGCUAGGGCAGCAUGAGGACUGAGACUUCCACUGAGAAACUGUCUAAGAUCUUAUUUCUUGUAACAAUUUCAGUUAAAGUACAUCUCAAGAGAUUAACCAAGUGGAUGGCAGUAGGAAUGAAUACAGGUUUUACAGAAGUCUAUUCCAAAGAUGAGCCAAUUCAAUAGUGGUCUUUUCUGUAGUUUCACAGUGUUUUCUGGGAUUUUACAAGAGAUCUUCAGAGUAAAAUAUUUUCUCAUUGUAAUUUAAGAGAGUAAGCAGGCAACACAGACUUUUCAAAUGUAUGAAUUUUGUUCGGAAAUCCUUGUAUCUAGUGCCCAUAUUUUAGCCAUCUGUUAGUUAGGCAUUGUCUUUCACUAUUGUAUUAACAUGUAGGACUUUCAUUAUACUUUCAUUGCUUUGGUUUCUUUGGAAAGAGAGAAGUUUUCUGUUAAAACAUCAAAUGUGAGCUUCAUUAUAAAUAAUUAAAACUGUUCUGCUAACUCUGUCAGUCUGCAAAGACAUCCAGAUAACCAAAAUUUUACCGUUAGGGUCAUGUUUGGACAAACAUCUAUGAGAACAAGAUUUCUUAUCAGAUUCCAGCACUUCCACUUGGCAUCUCAGCUGGAAAUACCAGAAGAAAAGCCUUUCUGUUAGGCUAUGGUCAUUUCCAGCUCUAGUCCCUGGUGGAAAUCAGAGGUGCCAAAUUAAUUCUGCUCAUGAAGGGUUCAAAGUAAGUUCAUUUCCAAACAUGCAUUAAGGUUUCUUUUGUAUUUCUUCCUUAAAGCCUGUGUGGAGGCUUGUUUUGUAAAUGCCAGGCGUUUUUGUGGUUUUGUUUGUUUGUGGUUUUCUUUUUUUUAUUUGUUUGGCUUAGGCUUGAUUUCUGUUUUAUUCUGUUGUUUGUUUUUUUAAAAAAAUUGCUAUUUGUAAACCAGGAGUAUCUUCACUUCUAAUUGCUGUCACAGGAUGUGACUCUGGCCAAUAGUUCUAAAGAGGACUGUUGUUUUCACAUAUGUUAAUUGUCUCUUUUUCUGUAAAAGAGAAAGGAAAUGGUUAAGGGAUUGGAGGGAACUUUCCUUAGGUUAAUUAUGUGAUAGAUGAGUAAUGCGAUGAUUGACUCUCACAAUUAAUAGACAAAUAUCAUGUAUAUAGGUUAAGAAAAGUUUCAUAGAUUUAUAGUUAUGUUGUACCCCCCUGCGUGGUUAUCAAGGAACAGCUGGAGAUGGGACAUCUGAGAGGGCUGGCUUGUCACUAUGGUGACAUCUGACCUCCAAUCAGGAUUUGAGGAAGAGAUCUCCACCACUGGACCGUGAAGAAGGGGUUGAUGGACAGAACUUUGGGAGGGGUUAGAGAGUUAAAAGGAGAAACCUCCAUGGUGAGGGAGAGCACAUGGUGGGCAAAGUCUUUUGGUCCAGGUGACAUAACCUUUUGUUUUUGCUCAGUCUUCUGGUGUACUUUUGAUAAGGUUUAAUAAACCUUCCUAAACUAUGAAAAGUGAGUGGCUAUUUCUCACAGUUAUUAAGUCUCGCUCUUUUCCACACAGUACUUUUUCCUGCCCAAGGAGACUUGAGCAGCAAUCCUUUAGAUUCCCUAAGACUACCCUAAUGACUGCAUUUCAGCAUAGUCUGGGAGUGGGAAGGAAGAGAGUCUUGGCCAAUUUAGCUGAAGCUAUUCACCUUUUAAUAAAAAAAAAUACAAAUUAGAUGAAGAUGUUUAAUACACAUAAUAUUCUGACAAGUGAUUAAGCUAAAAGAUGGUUUUAUUAUCUGUGUUUACCCCAACAUUUAGAUGACUGCAUAUGAAUAGAUCUGUUUCUGCUGGAGAGGUAGACCAGAUUUUCUGUUACAAAAUGUGUUAAAACCAAGGCUGUGCUUGCAGAAGAUCUUUGCUGGUGCUGUGUACUCAGAACAUCCAAUGGCUUCCGGAAGAGCCAUUUUAUGCCUCAGCACCUCCAAAAAUGAGAUUGUGGAAAACUGGCUUGAAAAUCUCAUUAUAUUAAGCAUGAAAUAAAAUACGAAAUAGGAAUGUUAGCAGAAGACCUGAAUAUGAAUUUCAGAGAAAUAAGACUGAAGAGAAAGAAGUAACUCUUUUGUGAAAAGAACAGGAUUCUGCUGAUGUGUUAGUGAAUGUGGAAAUGUAUUCUAAUGAAUACCAAGAUUUCAAAUAAAAACUGCUGCCAGAAGUGUUGAUAGACUUUCUUAUUGUGGCGUACUGUGCUUACCCUGCAGGCAAUUCUGAGUGAUGUGGCAGAUAUUAGGCUUUAUUUAUAGAAAGACAGGCAGACUAGUACAU